UACAGAGACUGCAAGCGUUAUUCGGAUUCACUGGGCGUAAAGGGUGCGCAGGCGGCCGUGUGUGUGAGGCGUGAAAGCCCGAUGCUUAACAUCGGAAUUGCACCUCAAACUACACGGCUAGAGCAUUGGAGAGGGUAGCGGAAUUCACGGUGUAGCAGUGAAAUGCGUAGAUAUCGUGAGGAAUACCAGAGGCGAAGGCGGCUACCUGGACAAUUGCUGACGCUCAGGCACGAAAGCGUGGGGAGCAAAAGGG
rnacentral:rRNA from 1 species